AUUUUUCCAGUACCAAAUGAACGUUGGAUUGGAUACGGACUCUGACAGAAUAACCUCAGCCAUUCUUACUGAUUAAAUCUAGCAUCGAGAGUGGAUCCAGAUAUUCCUAAAACUAUAGAUCUCUGUGUAUAGGUUAACAUUUACUGGCAUACUGACAAAUUCAAGUUUUUUUUAUCCUAACAUAAGGUUUUGCUUUUUUUCAAUUUAACUAGUGCAAUGUCAUUGUUUGAAUUUAAUCCUCGUAGAUGUGCUACACACAGGGGCGUUGCUGAGUGGUUGGGGUGACCCAGGCUGGACCCCAUGGUCUGAGCUGGCCAUUAUUAGCUUUUAGUUCAAGCCGGAAGUAGAGGAGUUGGUAGAUUCCUUUUUGCAUCUCCACCUUUUCC